AAGUUGCCUGAGAAGUAAUAUGGCCAAAUGUGGUGUAGACCCUACAAUGGAAGUUAAAUUUGUACCAGAGGAGAUGGUGGUGCUGUUGAUACCCCAAAUAAAGGCCUAAGAAGCAGCCUCAGAAGCAAAGUCUCUCUAUGGCCUCCUCCUGCCCUCCUGUCUCUCAUCCAUCAUCCUCACCCAAGGCAAGCCAUAGAAACUAGAAUAUCCUCUUCCCAAGGAUAGUUCUAGGCUAGAGUUGGAAAGAGGGUGCUUAUGACCAAGGGUGUAGAGAAGACCAUGGGGAAGAGAAUGUUUGUGCUCAUAUCUGUCUGGAGAAGAUUCUGGACCCAAAAUAGAGGUGGCUCUGAAGGCUGGAGGGACACUUUCUUACAGGCUCACAUUAGCCACUGACUCUGUUAGUGAUCAUCUCACCAAAGGCCUCAGAGAAGCAUCAAUAAUCAGGUACAGGGAUCAAGACAUGGGUAAGAAGAAGAUUCAAGGAAAGAAAGGUAAGGUGAUGAGUACCUAUUGGGUGUCAGAUAUAACUAAUAAUUUUAAAUGUACUGUCUUAAUUUUCUCAGCCACUCUGGAAGAUGGCUAUUAUUAUUCUCCAUUUUGCAGAUGAGAAAACUGAGGUGUGGAAAGUUACCUGACUUGCUCAAUAUAAGACAGCUGGAAAGCUGAGGAGGCAGGAUUCUAACUUAAGUCUGACUGAUGUCAAAAUCCCAAGCCCAGUGACUUCCACCCUAUGGGACGGACAAAGGGGAGCAGGUACGCAGAAAGGCAGAGAGCAGCUGAAUUGCCAGUUGUUUUGAAUGCUCUGGGAAAAGAGGGGAGAUAUAAUCUGAAAAACUAACAUUUACAACAUGCAAAACAGCGCCCGAGGGGCAAGUUGACAGCCCUUUUCCGUCUCAGCACCUCUUCAGACAUGUUGGCUCUUGAGCAGGACACGUUUUAAAUGUUCACAGAGGCCAUGUCUAAGAUGAGCCCAUAGUUAAGAUGGUGUUUUAUUGGCAGCCGUUCUGCACCCAGUGCUACCUUAGCCGAUCCACAUAAUCCUCCCUUCUGUGGCUAAGUGGAAAUCAGUUAUAAUCACUUAAGCACGUUGCUCAGAUUUUUGUAAAUGAAAAUUUCUGAGUAAAAAAAUUAAAUAUAUUCUUCAGUUCUGGUGUUGUCACUAAUGGUCUCAUUCAGUUUGAGCUGUGAUAAUAUCAUAGAUGGGGUGACUUAAACAACAGACAUCUGUUUCUCACAGUUCCAGAGGCUGAGAAGUCCAAGAUCAAGGUGCUGGCAGAUUCAGUUUUUAGUGAGGGCCCUCUUUCUGGUUUGUAGAUGGCUGAUUACUUGCUGUAUCCUCAUGUGGCAGAGAAAGAGCUGUUGAUCACUUCUUAUAGGAAUGCUAAUUCUAACAUGGGGCUGCUAUAUUGUGACCUUAUCUAAACCUAAUUACCCCCCAAGACCCCACCUCCUAAUACCAUCACAUUAGGGUUAGAGUUUCAAUGUAUAAAGUUCAGGGAACACAAGCAUUUAUUCUAUAACAUUAACAAUAACAAAAUCAUGCACAUAUAUGAAGAGUUUAGCAGUUGGCAAAGUAAGUUCACAUAAAUCACCUUAUUUGAAAUUCAUAGUUUUAUCUGUGAGUUGGCUAUUUUUACUUUCC